rnacentral:rRNA from 1 species
AUUGAACGCUGGCGGCAUGCCUUACACAUGCAAGUCGAACGGCAGCACGGGUGCUUGCACCUGGUGGCGAGUGGCGAACGGGUGAGUAAUACAUCGGAACGUACCUUAUCGUGGGGGAUAACGCAGCGAAAGCUGUGCUAAUACCGCAUACGCCCUGAGGGGGAAAGCGGGGGAUCGAAAGACCUCGCGCGAUUAGAGCGGCCGAUGCCUGAUUAGCUUGUUGGUGGGGUAAAAGCCCACCAAGGCGACGAUCAGUAGCUGGUCUGAGAGGACGAUCAGCCACACUGGGACUGAGACAAGGCCCAGAAUCCUACGGGAGGCAGCAGUGGGGAAUUUUGGACAAUGGGGGCAACCCUGAUCCAGCAAUGCCGCGUGAGUGAAGAAGGCCUUCGGGUUGUAAAGCUCUUUUGUCAGGGAAGAAACACCGGCUCUAACACAGUCCGGGAAUGACGGUACCUGAAGAAUAAGCACCGGCUAACUACGUGCCAGCAGCCGCCGUAA